UUGCUUGGCCUCCCUCUUUUCUCCCCCUCUUGACACUCAGGUAGAGCCUCUUCGGGACCCUGAAUAACUGGGCCUGCUGGAUGGGUCAAGUGGUGCCCAAACAGGGACCCGAAGCAAGGUCAACUACCGGAUGACGAAGACAAGAGAGCUGCAGUGGGAAUUGAGGACUCUUAAGGCCGUAUCGCUCGUGCGUUGCUGGAGAGGGAGUACAUUUUCAUCGCUUGGAGACCGGAAGAGCUGAGGAGAACCAGAGAGACAACGAACAAGAUGAGAUGCCCACCACAUAUCGGGAGAGGCUCAAUUUCCACAGUCUCUUAAAUUAAUGCCAUUUGGCCCCUACCCUUUCACCCGUGGGCUCAAGUAAGAGGAAUGAGAAGAUGAUCCGAAGUAGCCAUACUCAGUGAUGGGCAACUUCCUAUGAUCCUUGACCAAUCUAGACACGGAGCCUUGAUGGCGACAAGUUAAUCCUAUGACGGAUAAGGCUAGGGUUCGAGAGGUCGAUCCUAAGACAGAGGUGGCUGCACCCCGUUUAAAUGUACGGGUCGGUCAAAUGCUCCUUUGCCCAGUUUCUCCCCCCAAAAAUACACACGUAUAGCCCAGAAUGGUGUGUUACAGCAUAAGUUCAUUCCUAGCCAUUGAGGUGCAGUCCUAACUGCAAGAGUGGCUCACCAUGGCUGAGCUGGGCACUCUGUGAGGCAUGUCUGACCUCUCUCAGACCACUACUUCCAUAUAAUGGUCUUUUAUAAAAGAAAAAUGGGGGAGAUAUAGGGAGCCAUACUGGAUUUGGGCCUGGCUGCUUUGUGACUGCACUUCCCAAUACUCCCCCACCCUAAGUUUCAAUUCCUGCCUCAGAGCUUUAAAUGCUGUACAUUCCUCUCAAUAAACAAGACCUUGACAACA